UAUCACUAACAUCGAUGUUUUUCUCGAUAGUCUGGUAAUGUGCAGUACAUUUAGACAUAUGAAAAAUGUUAGAGGGAACUACCUAUAAUCUGUGCACAUUACCAAACUAUCUUUAUUGUUAUGUUGAUUUGUAUUGAAGAACAGGACACCGAAGUUUGGACAAAAACACGAAUUGUAUGGAUGAGAGAACAGCUUUUGAAAAAUGAAAAUUGGAUAAUAAAAAGAAAAUGCGAAAUAUGCAUCGGAUGUUGGAGGGAAAUAUUGUAAUUGUUGAUUUGCAUUGAAGAACAGGACACCGGAAGCUUGGACAGAAACACGAAUUGUAUUGCCAUGGAUGGGAUAAUAAAAACAAAAUACGAAAUAUGCAUCGGAUGAUUGUGCAGAGAAGAAUGUUGAUCGAAAAUAUCAUACCGGUUAUGUUUUUUAUCUGAACCGAGGAAUAAAGAACACUCCAUCAAAUCAAUCUUUGUCGUCUGCAGAUUCAGAAUAUAUAGCUUUGGUUGAAGAAUGUAAAGAGGCGAAGUGGAUAAAUGGUUGUGACAUUACUCCUAUCAUAAUUUACGAAUACAAACAAAGUUGUAUCAGUGUGGUUUCAAUGAGAAAUUCAAUAUAAAAUCGAAAGAUUAUUAUAUACAAAAUUUUGUACAUCCCCAAUAUUGAAAAAGGUAUGGGUACACAAUAAAGUUCUGUCACUUUGAACCUGAAA